CAGCCGCCACGGGAAUACGGAGGGGGCUAGCGUUGUUCGGAAUUACUGGGCGUAAAGCGCACGUAGGCGGCUUUUUAAGUCAGAGGUGAAAGCCCGGGGCUCAACUCCGGAACUGCCUUUGAGACUGGAAGGCUUGAACGUCGGAGAGGUGAGUGGAAUUCCGAGUGUAGAGGUGAAAUUCGUAGGUAUUCGGAAGAACACCAGUGGCGAAGGCGGCUCACUGGACGACUGUUGACGCUGAGGUGCGAAAGCGUGGGGAGCAAACAGGAUUAGAUACCCCUGUAGUCCCUGUCUCUUAUAC
rnacentral:rRNA from 1 species